AUUGAACGCUGGCGGCAUGCCUUACACAUGCAAGUCGAACGGCAGCGGGGACUUCGGUCCGCCGGCGAGUGGCGAACGGGUGAGUAAAGUAUCGGAACGUACCUUUCAGUGGGGGAUAACGUAGCGAAAGUUACGCUAAUACCGCAUAUUCUGUGAGCAGGAAAGCAGGGGAUCGCAAGACCUUGCGCUGAUUGAGCGGCCGAUAUCAGAUUAGCUAGUUGGUGAGGUAAAGGCUCACCAAGGCGACGAUCUGUAGCGGGUCUGAGAGGAUGAUCCGCCACACUGGAACUGAGACACGGUCCAGACUCCUACGGGAGGCAGCAGUGGGGAAUUUUGGACAAUGGGGGCAACCCUGAUCCAGCCAUGCCGCGUGAGUGAAGAAGGCCUUCGGGUUGUAAAGCUCUUUCGGCCGGGAAGAAAUCGUAUGGGUUAAUACCCUGUGCGGAUGACGGUACCGGCAUAAGAAGCACCGGCUAACUACGUGCCAGCAGCCGCGGUAA
rnacentral:rRNA from 1 species